rnacentral:rRNA from 1 species
AGAGUUUGAUCCUGGCUCAGGAUGAACGCUGGCGGCGUGCCUAAUACAUGCAAGUCGAACGAGGUAUGGUGACAUAUCGAGUGGCGAACGGGUGAGUAACACGUAGGUAAUCUACCCAAUAGACGGGGAUACCCAAGGGAAACUUUGGCUAAUACCGGAUAAGAAUAAGGGUCAGGCAUCUGACGUAUAUUUAAAGGUAGCGAAAAGUUACGCUAAUGGAUGAGCCUGCGGCGCAUUAGCUAGUUGGUGAGGGUAAAGGCCCACCAAGGCGAGGAUGCGUAGCCGACCUGAGAGGGUGACCGGCCACAUUGGGACUGAGAACGGCCCAGACUCCUACGGGAGGCAGCAGUAGGGAGUAUUCGGCAAUGAGGGGAACCUUGACCGAGCAACGCCGCGUGAACGAAGAAGGUCUUAGGAUUGUAAAGUUCUGUUAUUGGGGACGAAAGGUAUAUGUAGUGGAACGACAUAUAAUUGACGGUACCCAUUGAGGAAGCCACGGCUAACUACGUGCCAGCAGCCGCGGUAAUACGUAGGUGGCAAGCGUUAUCCGGAAUUAUUGGGCGUAAAGAGUGAGCAGGCGGUCAUAUAAGUUUAGAGUCAAAGGCAUUGGCUUAACCAAUGUACGUUUUAAAAACUGUAAGACUAGAGUUCGAGAGAGGUUAGUGGAAUUCCAUGUGUAGCGGUGAAAUGCGUAGAUAUAUGGAGGAACACCAGUGGCGAAUGCGGCUAACUAGCUCGAGACUGACGCUCAGUCACGAAAGCGUGGGUAGCAAAUAGGAUUAGAUACCCUAGUAGUCCAC